rnacentral:rRNA from 1 species
ACACGACUACAUUAGAUACCCCUGUAGUCCAGGGUGUAAACGCUGCGGGCUUGGUGUUGGGGGUCCUUUGAGGGCGCCCAGUGCCGGAGAGAAGUUGUUAAGCCUGCUGCUUGGGGAGUACGUCCGCAAGGAUGAAACUUAAAGGAAUUGGCGGGGGAGCACCGCAACGGGAGGAGCGUGCGAUUCAAUUGGAUUCAACGCCGGAAAACUCAUCGGGAGCGACAGCAACAUGAAGGCCAAGCUGAAGACUUUGCCGGAUUAGCUG